AUGUCUGAUCGGGACGCCUGUGAGGUGCUCCAUACACCGGCUUGAGGUAGUGACGCUGAGAUCUGUGACAUCGAGAUCUCUAAAGCCCCCUUCUUACUGAACUAUGACACCCAGUUUGUGCUCUUUUCCCUGUGUAACCCUUACAACUUUUUCUUAACCUUUGUUUUUAUUUUAUGUGAGUGGAUAUCUACCCUCAUGUAUGAUGUCUGUGCAUCACCCCGGGAGGCCAGAAGAGGGCGAGAGACUGGAGUUACAGCCGGUUGUGAGCCGCCUUGUGGGUGCUGGGAAUCGAAAUCAGAUCCGCUGGAAGAGCAACCAGUGAGCCUUUUGAGCCAUCUCUCCAGCCGCACCCCUCCUCCCAACUUUCUGAGCUUUGUGGGAUGUUAGGGUGGUCGUUCCCAAUCCACCACUGGGAGGAAACUGAGGCUAAGAGACAGGAAGGGAGAGACGCUCACAGCAUUGGCCGGAUCCAUCAACUCGGCACACCUUUAUUAAGACCCCGCAGGAUCCCCGCUGCGGCCG
rnacentral:lncRNA from 1 species